rnacentral:tRNA from 1 species
GUUGAUUUGGCUGAAUUUUAGGCGGUAGAUUGUAAAUCUAUUUAUGGAAUUAUAUUCCUUUCAAUA